CCCUGUAUUCUAAAGUGAUUGUUGGCUGCCCAUGCCCUGGUCUUUGAUAGUGCAGGUAGAGGAACCACUGAAAGUCUUCCUCCAUGUUUGGGAGUUGGAGGGGUGGGGGGUGUGAGUCUGUCCUAUCCCUUCCAAACUCUGGUGCAUUCGUACA